AUGAACGCUGGCGGCGUGCUUAAGACAUGCAAGUCGUACGUGAAAGUCCGUCAAGGAUGAGUAAAGUGGCGCACGGGUGAGUAAUACUUAGGUAACGUACCCUCUCGCUGGGGAUAACCAGGCGAAAGCUUGGCUAAUACCGAAUAAUUCGACUAUGACUCCGGUCGUGGUCGACAAAGUCGUAAGGCGCGAGGGGAUCGGCUUAAGUCCCAUUAGCUUGUUGGUAGGGUAAUGGCCUACCAAGGCAUCGAUGGGUAGCUGGUCUGAGAGGAUGAUCAGCCACACUGGUACUGGAACACGGACCAGACUCCUACGGGAGGCAGCAGUUAGGAAUCUUGCGCAAUGGGAGAAAUCCUGACGCAGCAACGCCGCGUGAGGGACGACGGCCUUCGGGUUGUAAACCUCUUUUAGC
rnacentral:rRNA from 1 species